rnacentral:lncRNA from 1 species
GUAAAUAAUUUCUGGUCCAUGUACACAUGGCUUCUUUUCUCAGGAACUGUAGGGAUGUUUGAGAUUAGGAACCAAGUGUGUUCUUUAUCUUUCCUGUGUCUCUGUGGUGUUUUAAGCAUAAAUAUUGUCUAAUAAGUAUUUUCUUGGUCCACAGAUUUCCAAAUCCUCAUGAGUUAUACUUGCCACCUACAUGAAUUCUUUUUUUGCAGCUAAUUUGUGGGUUUUAUGCACUACACAUAGCUAUAGAUGUAGCAUUCUAUGCUCAUAGCCCAGUUUUCUAUUUUAAAGAUUUUUUGCUGAAACCAAUUUUAAAGUUUGUUACAAUCCACAGGAAUGAGAAAGGUCUGUCUCUCUAUUUGAGUGUAAAUAUCCCUCAAAGAAAGUUCUGCAUUCAUGCUUCUGCCUGAAACCAUGCCAUUGGGUAUUUCUAGCCUCACCUUCUUUAUCUCCCCACCAACAUUCUAGGCAAGAAGCUCUCCUAUCUUGAAAUAUAAGAGAGGAUCUGCAGAUGGAGAAUAUUGUGUCUGGUGGUUCACCAACUGCCUUAGGCCUCCAUUCCUUAUUCUGGCAAGGGAUAUCAUGUGCCCCCAGCAAUGAGGACAUGGACUUCACAUGAGAGAGAAGUCCAUGAAACUUGUCAGCAACUGAAUACCCUCCCACUCCACUCUCACCUAAAGUGUCCUUGCUGGGCUGGGUAUGAAGACCUUCAUGGUAAGCUUAUCGUCAAGCAGAACUGAAUUUAGUCCCCAGCCACUACUGCAGCUCUGGACAACCUUGGGCAAGGCACCAGGCCUUUUGAAGAGGCUGGAGUGUAUUCGCGAGCAGAGAGAAAAGGAACAGAAGAGAGUCAAGAUUUUUAAAAAGAAAUUUUAAUGACUUAUUGAGGUUUGAUUUUUAUCCAGUAAUAAUCAUCCAUUUUAGGUGUAUAGUUAAAUAAGUGUUGGCAAACAUAUACAAUAUAUAAUUACUACUGAGAGAGUCAGGGUUCUUUGACUAGGCCUCUGAAAUAUGGGAGCAGGUAGAGUCUGGAACGGAAAUGCAAGGUUUGGCUUUGAUUAAGAAAGGGAAGGGGAUAAGAUCGAUGAACUUGUAGAUAAACAGGCCCAGAGUGGGGUUUAGGGCUAUUCCUUGAUGUUAUUAAUUUUUCCUGUGUGGUAAGAGGAAGCAAGGUGCUGAGAAAAAGGUGAGCAAAGAUAGGAUAGGUUCUACCAGGUGAUACGAAAGUAUAAAUAGCUGUUGUGGGGAGUGACUGAUAAGGGAUGCAUAAGGAGAUUGUCUGUCAAGCCCACUUGGCACUACAGCCUGCAUGUGGCCUGGAGAAUGCAGGGCUGACUCAUCCAAGGUUCAGGGAUGGGGACAAGGGUUUGUAAGUGGUGGUGGUGAAUCAAGAGAUAUGCUGUUUAGGAGGCCCGGGGAUGAGAUACAGUGGGGAGGGACUGGGUGAACUGGGGGCCUUGGUGAAAUCUAGGAGUUGGUGGGGUGGAAGCUGAUAAGAGUUGAGAUACACAAGGAGUUUUCAGCCAGUUGGGUCUGGCAUUCCAUGGGAGCCUGUUCUGAGGGUGCCCAGGCUCAGAUUAUGCUCAACAAUUGGCUGCUGAAGUAGAGCAGAAUGCAAAGGGCUGCUAACAAUUGAUAAAGACACAAAGAGUCAUUUAGAAGACACCUUUAAUUUAACAUCCCUCUGCAUCUGUACACAUUUAGAUAGUAAGAAACUGCAGAACAUCACGAGAAAGGGUAUUUUUAGAAGUGUGAUAUUAGGUUUAAGAAGGCCAGUACUUUAAAGGAGAUGAAACACUGAGGAACAGAAUGUGUUUUGGUAAAAUAAGUAACAAAAUCGAUUACUUUGAAAGUUCUAUUAAAAUGAAAUAGGGAAAAGCUUUCAUCUUGUGAGUACUGAAAAUAUAUAGUAAGUAAAGUGUUAAGGAAGUGGGUGUGUUAGGGAGGAGAAGGGGGAAAGGUAGUAAAAUAUAAACCUGGCUUUAUUUACAAAGCUUUGAUCUUGAUAAAUAGUAUCUUCUUUAGAGAGCUCAUAUCUGUGUUUCAAAAUCUAGGUUAUAGUCCAAACAAUGUCAAAUCUGGGACAAACUAUUUAGAGUCUGCUGUACUGAGUGUAUGACAAUAAGCCACAAAAUAUUAAGAAGCUAUCUAUUAAGAAGAAAAUAAUGCAAAAACAAAAAAACAAAAAAAAAAGAAGAAAAUAAUGUGCAAUUACUCAAGCCAGGCCUUAAUAAUUAGGAAUUUGCAUAUGAGUUUGUGAGUUCUUUGAGGACUCUGGUAGGCACUAUUCUCUGUAGUAUCUAAACUUCCUUUUCUGUAAAUGAUUGACAAUAAAUAUUUG